rnacentral:snoRNA from 1 species
AAGAUCGUACUUCUAGGGAUCAGUCCUAUAGUAUGUAUCACCAGGACGUCAAACAAAGACUCAACUUAGCUAAAUAUAUUUGAACUAUGGUUAUAUCGAGUUAAUUAACUUAAAAUGCACAUAUAGCAAUAGAGACUGA